rnacentral:rRNA from 1 species
CCAAUAGCGUAUAUUAAAGUUGUUGCAGUUAAAAAGCUCGUAGUUGAAUUUCGGGGUUAGUAGGUUGGUCAUGCCUCUGGUAUGUACUGAUCUUACUGAUUCCUCCCUCUUGACGAACUGUAAUGUCAUUAAUUUGGUGUUGCAGGAAAUCAGGACUGUUACUUUGAAAAAAUUAGAGUGUUUAAAGCAGGCUAAGGCUUGAAUACAUUAGCAUGGAAUAAUGAAAUAGGACGUUUGAUCCUAUUUUGUUGGUUUCUAGGAUCGACGUAAUGAUUAAUAGGGAUUGUUUGGGGCCUUAGUAUUCAAUUGUCAGAGGUGAAAUUCUUGGAUUUAUUGAAGACUAACUACUGCGAAAGCAUUUGCCAAGGAUGUUUUCAUUAAUCAAGAACGAAAGUUAGGGGAUCGAAGACGAUCAGAUACCGUCGUAGUCUUAACCAUAAACUAUGCCGACUAGGGAUCGGAUGAUGUUAAUUUUUUAAUGACUCCUUCGGCGCCUUACG